rnacentral:lncRNA from 1 species
UGUGGUUUCCACGGCUGCAGUAGUCCAGGACCCAGCCUGAGUUCAUAGAGUUCUGUCUUCCUGUGGCCAGGUCCUACCCUAGGCAAAAUCCUCUUUAUGAAGAAUUGAAGUUAAAGGAGAAGGUGAUCAUGACAUUUCUACACAACUUGGAGAUGAAGAAGAUGGAGGCCCGAGAGAACAAGCAGGAGCUCAAGAAGGAGAAAAAUUUCUAUCGUAACCUGCCCAGCUGGAUCCUGAGGAAGAAGAAUCUUAUAAAGAAGAAGUUGGUAAUAUUGAAGCAGGAGAGCAAGGAAGUACAGGCUGAUUGGGCCAUCAUCCAUCAAUAUUUGGUGGACUUGAACCUGAGUGGUAAAGACUAACAGGAGAAGACCAGCAACCUUGAGACUCAAGAACAUCAGGUCUCAGAAACUGCAAGAUAGCUGGGAUUGGCCACAGCAGAAGAAGAGAGCAUCUUGGAGAAUGAGUUGCCACCCCAGGAGGCCCCUGCUGAACACCAUCCCCAGCGUCCACAAUCUUCCUUGGAUGAAUCUUCUUCCAUAUAAUUCCUUUUCUUAGGGUGAAUAGGCCUUUACUAAGAAGCCAUGGCUGAUUCAGGGUGUUGUUCCCUUUUCUCUUCAGACAACUCCUCUUGACAGAGAACUGAGGCGACUGCACUGCCACCAAGUGUCCAAGAGGAGUAACAGGCUGUAGGUCUGUGCUGCUAAAAGUGCAGAGAGAAAGCAGCUGAACAAUAAUUUUCUGUUAGAAAAGAGAAAGCAGCUGAACAAUAAUUUUCUGUUAGAAAAGAGAAAGCAGCUGAACAAUAAUUUUCUGUUAGAGUUUUGGUUAAAGUUUUGCUUUUUGUUUGAAU